AGAGUUUGAUCAUGGCUCAGAACGAACGCUGGCGGCGUGCUUAACACAUGCAAGUCGAACGAGAAAAUCCUGGCUUGCCAGGAUGAGUAAAGUGGCGCACGGGUGAGUAACACGUGAGUAAUCUGCCCCUAAGGCAGGAAUAACAUUGCGAAAGCGAUGCUAAUACCUGGUAAGCCCACGACUUCUUCGGGAGAUGUGGGAAAAGGUGGCCUCUGACAUAAGCUAUCACUUAGGGAUGAGCUCGCGGACCAUUAGCUUGUUGGUAGGGUAAUGGCCUACCAAGGCGAUGAUGGUUAGCUGGCCUGAGAGGGUGGCCAGCCACCCUGGAACUGAGAUACGGUCCAGACUCCUACGGGAGGCAGCAGUGGGGAAUCUUGCGCAAUGGGGGAAACCCUGACGCAGCAACGCCGCGUGAGUGACGAAGGCUUUCGGGUCGUAAAGCUCUGUCAGAUGGAAAGAAUUAGUUCGCUGAAAAUAUUGGCGAAUGAUGACGGUACCAUCAAAGGAAGCACCGGCUAACUCCGUGCCAGCAGCCGCGGUAAUACGGAGGGUGCAAGCGUUGUUCGGAAUUAUUGGGCGUAAAGCGCGUGUAGGCGGGAAGGCAGGUCAGGUGUGAAAUCCCUUGGCUUAACCAAGGAACUGCAUCUGAAACCAUUUUCCUCGAGUACGAUAGGGGAGGGCGGAAUUCCCAGUGUAGAGGUGAAAUUCAUAGAUAUUGGGAGGAACACCAGUGGCGAAGGC
rnacentral:rRNA from 1 species